CCUACGGGAGGCAGCAGUGAGGAAUAUUGGUCAAUGGGCGCUAGCCUGAACCAGCCAAGUAGCGUGAAGGAUGACUGCCCUAUGGGUUGUAAACUUCUUUUAUAUGGGAAUAAAGUGCAGUAUGUAUACUGCUUUGCAUGUACUUUAUGAAUAAGGAUCGGCUAACUCCGUGCCAGCAGCCGCGGUAAUACGGAGGAUCCGAGCGUUAUCCGGAUUUAUUGGGUUUAAAGGGAGCGUAGGCGGGUUGUUAAGUCAGUUGUGAAAGUUUGCGGCUCAACCGUAAAAUUGCAGUUGAUACUGGCAGCCUUGAGUACAGUAGAGGUAGGCGGAAUUCGUGGUGUAGCGGUGAAAUGCUUAGAUAUCACGAAGAACUCCGAUUGCGAAGGCAGCCUGCUGGACUGUAACUGACACUGAUGCUCGAAAGUGUGGGUAUCAAACAGGAUUAGAUACCCGAGUAGUC
rnacentral:rRNA from 1 species